rnacentral:rRNA from 1 species
UACGUAGGGCGCAAGCGUUAUCCGGAAUUAUUGGGCGUAAAGAGCUCGUAGGCGGUUUGUCGCGUCUGCCGUGAAAGUCCGGGGCUCAACUCCGGAUCUGCGGUGGGUACGGGCAGACUAGAGUGAUGUAGGGGAGACUGGAAUUCCUGGUGUAGCGGUGAAAUGCGCAGAUAUCAGGAGGAACACCGAUGGCGAAGGCGGGUUGCUGGGCUGAUACUGACGCUGAGGCGCGAAAGCUAGGGGAGCGAACGGG